rnacentral:rRNA from 1 species
GAGCGAACGCUGGCGGCAGGCCUAACACAUGCAAGUCGAACGGACUCUUCGGAGUUAGUGGCGGACGGGUGAGUAACACGUGGGAACGUGCCUUUAGGUUCGGAAUAGCUCCUGGAAACGGGUGGUAAUACCGAAUGUGCCCUUCGGGGGAAAGAUUUAUCGCCUUUAGAGCGGCCCGCGUCUGAUUAGCUUGUU